GUGACCAAAGUCACCUCACUGUGCUCAAAGCUGUCAGAGGGUACAGUUCAAUUCUACUCACUAUUCUUGUAACGGCACUUUUUACAUACAUUUAUAUCAAGAAAGAACUUCAGAAAGCCAGCUCCAAACUAUUACACCCCAGUGUCAAUAAGUGUUUCAUUGUCACAUUGGUAUGUGCAUCAAAUCUGAAUUUAAUACUGUGUUCGUGUCAUGAUAUGUCUUUCCCAUUUUUGUUAAGGCGAAGCCAAGGACCUGUGCUCCUCCGUCGGUGCUCUGGCUGCCAGGACCAUCGAGUUUAAAGAAGUGGCCAUGCUGCCGGCAUCAGACCCCACUGUGGCCACAGGGAGAGCCACGGAGUUCAAACAACAGCUCCAGCACCUCGCCAACCAGGUGAGGUCAAAUGAGCAAUUUGACCUCCUCACGCACACCUUGGGGCCAGGAAUGGUAGAGGUGGUGGUGGAUGUUUUUAAAAAGUGUGUUGAUACAUACAUUGACAAUAUUAACAAUUAACAAUUUGUUGUGUUCAUUAAUUAAAUAUCUUCAUGUUCUACA